GUCCAGCUGACGAGUCCCAAAUAGGACGAAACGCGCGUCCUGGAU
rfam:Schistosoma mansoni strain Puerto Rico chromosome 6, complete genome